GCCAUGGUGGCGCAGUGGGUAGCACAAUGGCCUUCCAUUAAAAAGGUUGCCAGUUCGAAGCUUGUCAGUGACA